AACCAUAGAAACCUGCGGAGUACCUGCGGAGGGAUCAUUUCUGUUUGGGGUGCCCAACUUGGGCUACCCUUUUAUAUACUCCGCACCUCGGUGCUGCAAACAACAAACCCCUAAUUACCAGUCUAUUUUUAAUAUCACAAAACUUUCAACAACGGAUCU
rnacentral:misc_RNA from 1 species